rnacentral:tRNA from 1 species
GGGAGUGGAAGGGCUCCUGGUGGGCCCCCUGGACUUCAAAUCCAGCGCUCCGGUCACAAGCUGGAGGGUGGGUUCGAUUCCCAUGCACUCCCGCCA